CGCGUAGGCGGACUUUCAAGUCGGUUGUGAAAUCUCCAGGCUCAACUUGGAGCUUGCAUCCGAUACUGUUGGUCUUGAGUGUAUCAGAGGAAAGCGGAAUUCCAGGUGUAGCGGUGAAAUGCGUAGAUAUCUGGAAGAACACCAGUAGCGAAGGCGGCUUUCUGGGGUACUACUGACGCUGAAGCGCGAAGGCGUAGGGGAGCAAACA
rnacentral:rRNA from 1 species